UACGUAGGGUGCGAGCGUUGUCCGGGAUUACUGGGCGUAAAGAGCUCGUAGGCGGUUUGUCGCGUUGUUCGUGAAAACUCACAACUCAAUUGUGGGCGUGCGGGCGAUACGGGCAGACUGGAGUACUGCAGGGGAGACUGGAAUUCCUGGUGUAGCGGUGGAAUGCGCAGAUAUCAGGAGGAACACCGGUGGCGAAGGCGGGUCUCUGGGCAGUAACUGACGCUGAGGAGCGAAAGCGUGGGGAGCGAACAGG
rnacentral:rRNA from 1 species